rnacentral:pre_miRNA from 1 species
CAUCGUGCAGAAGUUUGAGUGUCCUGUGUGUUGCCUAAUCGCAUUCAAUUUCUGAACGGUAGA